UAGGCCCUGGGAGGUAUCCAGGGACAUGGGAGCCAUGGUCCCACCUGCAAAAAGAAAAGACUGUGGCUGGGGAGAAGAGGCCCGAGCAAUGAAAUAGUAAUUCAAGAGUCUAGACAGUGGCCCAAGAGAUGUCACAAAGCCAAGGAUGGGCAACGGAGGCUCCGGGAGUCAGAGAGGUAGGAAAUGGGAUUUGACUUGCAUGGCUGGGAGGGGCUUUCCAGGGAGGCCCGCGUGAAGGCUUUGUUCCUGGAAUUUUCACUCCUGUAAUUAUUUAGGACUAUGGCAGUUACUACUCACUGGGCACUUGCACCAUUCCUCAUGUUCAUACACAUCUCUAAUGUAAACAACCCAGCAAGGGAAGUAGUACCCUAUAUGUGGGGGAAAAGUGGUUCAGAGAGGUUAAGUAACUCACCCAAAGUCACACAGCUGAAGAAAAUGGCUGGGCUAGGAUGUGCGUUCAUGCUCUUUCCACCAUGCCAUGUUGCUUUACUGAGAUGACACAGGGCACAAAGUAAGUGCAAACACAGACCUGUUCAUUUUCCAUUCAGGAAGCCCAUUUGCCACGACCAAUGCAACUCCAACCUACCAGGCUGACUGUAGAAUGGGUUUUCCUCAUGGGCAACACAUACACACAUGCAUGCAUGCGCGUGCAUGCGUGCACACACACACACACACACACACACACACACAAAACCAAAUCACUGUGCAUUGGACAAGGGGAAAAAAAAGCUGCCACUGGAAGAUGAAGGAAAUCACAAUUCCAAACUCCCCAAGUUCCUAAAUGCAUAAAGUACGUGCAGCUUGACGGCAUAUGGCAAAUCAAUUACUAGUUUAAAUCUUAAAACAAAAACAUGGCAAGUGUGGUGCAGAAAUAAUCAAGAACAACGGUUAGGUUUAGAUUACAGUGGGCCACUAGAGUUUUGAAUACAAUUAAUCAUCAUUCCAGGCAAUGGGAAGCCAUAUUGACACUUAUUCCUAAUUUGAAUAUUUAAUUAGGGUGAAGUUCUUCAUCAAAUUAUCGCAGAACUGGGAGAAAGCCUGGAAGACUUACACAAUUACUAUCUUAACCCCUUCCCAGCUGCUCACCUGUGAACACAGCCAUUCUAGUCCCAGCUCCGCAGGGGAGGUUGCCUGUGCCCAGUCUCUGAUGCUGUGGGGUGCUGGAGGGGUGCUGGUGACUGGAGUUGCAACUGCAGCAGGCGGGAGCCACGUGGUGGCAAAGGAAAGGUCUAAGGGGAUGCCCUGCUCAUGCUUAGGCUAAGUUCUGCAUUGAACCCUGGACACAGACAGAAAGCCAGCAUGCAUGGGUGCUCACUGGGCACCAGGGUGGUGCUUUCUGUGUCCCCCCCCAAUUUAAUUCUCAUGACAAAUCCUGCAAAGGAGGCAUUUCUAUCCCCAUUUCACAGAGGAAGAAACAGGCUCAGAGAGUGAUAAAACUCACUCAAAGUAACACCGCCUGUGAGUGGUGUAAAGAAGGCCCAAGGGACACACACACACACACACACACACACACACACACACACACACACACAGAGUUACUCACCAAAAGUGAUGACAAAGAGAACACGCAAAGGCCCACAAAAAUGUUUUCAAGGCUGUAUUUUGGAUCAUCUGCACCGUGUGGCUAAAUCAAAGGAAAACCAAAACCCAGGCCUCUUCAAUCAGCAUUCUAAAAUUUAACUCUUGGGUUCAAAAUGCAUUACUGAGCCCCCCCCCACAAUGGAAGUCACGAUGCCGUUGUGGCCAGGGGCUCAGCAGAAUGGUGGAGGUGGGGGCAGCAAAGCUCAAGGAACAGUCCCACAAGGCCGAUUUGAGGCAAGGUGACAAGGUGGCCAUCCAAACCCCGCAGAGUAGGACUCGAGAAGGUGGGCGCUGCGGGACAGGUGUCCUUGGGGAGGGGAAUGUUUGCAACAGGACAAAAAAAUGUGAACUCUUUCUUCUUUCAAGAUGGCCAAGGCUCAAUGAUAGCAUUUAGAACUAUACAUCAGCUUGGUGAUUACGUUCCUUAAUGUACGCCUUUGCUAUCUGAAAAGACUUUUACUAACAUUUCAUAGAUACUAUGUGAUUCUACGUGACCAAAAACAACACAUUUUGCCACAUAAUCUCCCCGAAGGACUCAGGACACGGCCAAGGGCUGAGUGCACACAUGGGACUGGACCACGGUAGGUCCAGAGACCUUUCUGCUUCCAGCCUCCACCGAGAAGCCGAAAAGGAGGGACAUCCUGAUAGUUUCAGGUUAGCCAUCUCUCCUUAAAAGCCUGUGACGGGUUCACUUACCCUCUUGUGGAAAAGGCUCCAUUUGCAGUGGCCACUUUCAGCAGGAAGUGGAUCGCCAGGCAGAAGGAGGGAGCCGCCCCAGCCCCCUGCCUGGGCCCACUGCAGGCACAGACCCCGGAUCCGGAUCCAUCAGGCCUGCGUGGGGGGAGCGAAUGGCAUCGGGAACUUUGAAACUUUCCUUUGUAUAUUACAUUAAUCCAUAUAAGAAAAUCUCUUUUAAUGAGGAGUGAUGUAGUUACAAACUCUCCAGAGCCAUAAUUAGAGCAAACUAAUUGAAGUUGUGUUUUGACACACUUUCCAAAUUCACGGGUGCCGGAUGACAUAUUCACAACACUGCUGCCGCACAACCAUGGCGACGGCAAAAUCAUUAGGCUAAUAACGCUUAUUUGCAUUCUUAUCAUGCCGGCAGCUCGCCCUUAAAUACUGUUUCCACUACUGCUCCUUUACUGUAAGUUUCCACCGAAAGAUAUUAACAGUAAUUAUUAGUACUUUAGUGGAAUUUUAAUGUUAAAGAAUAACAAUGUGCAUUAACAUACAUUGAAUGGCAAUUCUUUUUCUUAACCACCCAUCGGAAGGUUUGGGGGUUCUUCCUUGGCCCUCUCCCCAGAGCUCAAGGGUAACCAGAUGCGAUUUCAGCUUCAUUUACAAUUCAGGGUCCACACCCAGUGGGAUCUGAAGUCAGGUUUCUGAACCAUUCUGCUCCAAAAG
rnacentral:lncRNA from 1 species